AUAGCGUAUAUUAAAGUUGUUGCAGUUAAAAAGCUCGUAGUUGGACCUUAGGCAAGGCGGCCUGGUCACCCUCUGGGUGUACUGGGAUCGCUGCGCCUCACCUUCGGGGAGCUAGUCGUGCUUCGGUGCGCUAGGGAACCGAGCCUUACCUUGAGGAAAUUAGAGUGUUUAAAGCAGGCUUUUAUUGCUUGAAUACGUUAGCAUGGAAUAACAUGAUAGGACUUUGGUUCUAUUUUGUUGGUUUGAGGACCAAAGUAAUGAUUAAUAGGGACAGUUGGGGGCAUUAGUAUUCAAUAGUCAGAGGUGAAAUUCUUGGAUUUAUUGAAGACUAACUAGUG
rnacentral:rRNA from 1 species